GCUCGGCCUACCAGCCCGGGGGCUCCGAGGCUCGCGCCGGAGGCGGGGCAUCGCCGCGCCGGCCGCCAACGGCCACUGCAACGGUCCCUACCGGGGAGGGCCGGCUUUUGCCGGCUUCCGGAGAAGGGAGGAAAGAGAGAGGUUUACCUAACACUGUAAAGAGAACGUUCAAUGAAAUACAAAGAAAAAGAUGAUUUUUUUGCUCCAAGAGAAUUAUUCCAGCCUUGGGGUGGAGUGGGUGUGGACAGUGAGCAGAAAAACAAGAAACCAAGUUCUGGGAGGAAAUAAAAUGAAUAUAAUCAGUGGAAAAUUCAGCAACGCAAUAUUGUGUGACAACAGUAAAUGACCAAUUUAUAAUUUAAAUUCUAUGAAAAAGAGAUUUAGAAGAGAGUUCUACCAAACCCACUGUUCCCUAGGGAAUAAAAUGAGUAACGCUGACUGGCAACAGUGCAUCCUGAGGGAGCCUGGAGAAACAACAGCAGCCUCCGACCUCAAGAUAUCCUGUGCUGUGACAGUGUCUUAAGUAGGGCAUGUUGAUAGAUGGAAAAGGACGGCAAACUCGAGGUGCUGAUUCAGGAAGAAGCAGAUUCCAAGAUGGAAGAGAAAAUAUCGAGAGAAAUAUGCCGAGAGAAGAAUCCAGGCAGAAUGGAAUCCAGGCAGAAUGGUGAAUGGAAGGUUCGGGUGACCAAGAGAAAGGAAGGGUGACUCAGCAAGUCUGUAGUUUCAGCUCUUGUAUAGUACGUUAUACUUGAAAAGCUGAAGCCUUUUCUCGGGGAAGAGUCAGAACGGCCUGGAGGGCUUGCUAAAGCGCUGCUGGCUGGGCCCCGCCCGCUGAAUGACUAAUGGAGACUCUGAGGGCCGGCUGGUAAUUUGAGUUUCUAACAAGCCCUGUUUCGAUGCUGGUACAGCCGAUCUAGGGAAAAUAUUGGAACAAGGAAAAAACUAAGAAGAAAUUUUAAAAAGUAAUCAAAGGCGGCCAAGUGAGGUGGCUCACGCCUGUGAUC
rnacentral:lncRNA from 1 species